GCUUUUCCAGGCAGAGCAGAGACUGCAGAGAUCUCAGCAGCAGCUGAAGAACCUGCGGCAGUCAACAUCAGUAGAUUCCAAGCCAGAGAAGGCUUGAAGAGGAGAUCAAGUUCAACUCCUAAAUGGUGUCUGACAAACUGCCCAAGGAGCUGGAGAGUAAGAGGCGGAUGGUGCAGUAACUGCAGAAGGUGGUGUCCAAGCCAGACAUGGGCCAAGCUGAGUUUAGGGAACUAGAGGACAAGAAUCGAGAGAACACCAUUGAAAUAAAUCUGCUGAUUGAGAAAAGAAUGAUGAGAAAUGACCCCAUGGAUGAUAAACUGUCUCUUCAGGCAGCAGGUGAUUUGCUUCUCCUUGUCUCACAUUCUCUAACCAUACAGUACAUUGAUAUGACAUAACACCAGCAAUUACAUUGGAUGAAGGUUAUGUCCAUUUCAGAAUGCCAUUCCCUGUCAUUGAUACUAAAUCACACAAGUCUUUGUCAGUUAAAUGAAUCUGUAUGCGCUGGCUGUCUGUGUGUUGUUAAGCGUUUGCUGGCUCUUUGAACUUGUUAGGAUGAUUGAUGUUGUCUGAUGAACGGAGGCGGCUUUAUUUAUCAUCAAAAGGUUUAUUCAGGUUAUCAUAUUGAUAUUUUAAUAUUUUUUGGUCUCUUUUAUGUGAGAACAGCCAAGCACGAGACCUGGAGGGAGACGGGGUAGCUAACCACCUCUCACAGCUCAGUACUCUGGUCUGAACAUCAUCAUCAUCCACACCAAUAGUAAUCCCCUUCCUAACCAUUGGAACAGGGUCGGAGCCUUUUUCGACGGGGAGUGAUGUAUCGUCAUUGUCCAGCAAAAAGACUGCUACCCUUAUACAAUCCACAGGAGGUUGGUGGCACCUUAAUUGGGGAGGACAGGCUCAUGUAAUGGCUGGAGCGGAAUAAGUGGAAUUGUAUCAAAUAUGGUUUCUAUGUGUUUGAUUCCAUUCGCUCUGUUUCAGCCAUUAUGAGCUGUCCUCUCACCAGCCUCCACUGAUACCAUCUGCUCUGUAUUCGCAUGUUACGUUGUACAUCUGCUCACCACUCAAAACUGAACAUCACUAUCCAAACUCUCUGAGGAUAAAGCAAAAUGCAUCAGAGAUGAUAUGUUUUCCAUCUUUAGGGGUAGAUUCAUUAAACAUUCUACUGUUUGCUUACGUCAAACUUUGUUGAUAAGAGUGAAGCGCGGUAGAGUUGUGUGCCGCACUGAACGUGAGAUGCUAUUUCUGCUCUUAUGUAAACAGAGAGGGGCUUACUGGCUAAAGCUACUUAUCCCUUUCCCCUCACUCUCCCACAUUCCCAUGCAAGGUUAAAAAUAGACAACAGCAUGGACUACCUAGAACCAGGAUAGUAAUUGAACAAACUGUCUGAAAUGUUAACUGUUUUCAAAUCUCUUCUAAAUUAAUUCCGCAAAACACAAACCAUUGCAGUGUGAAUCCUUCAACUAAAUGUAACUCAAUGGCUGAUAUUUUAUCCCAAUCGAAACAAACUGACACAAGCUUUGACGCUAUGUUUGGUUAGAUCCCACUGAACCACUGGCAGAGAGUGGACUCUCAAAUUUGAGUGGCUUUUUAGCCUCUGCAACACAGUGCCAGGAGCCAUCACUCCUGUGUCAACACACCCUGUGCCUGGCUGUAUAAGUUCAAGGAUGAUAAGGAAAAACGGCCACUCUUCACAUCUCAAACUAUGCCUGUUCCUGCACCCAUAUGUUCAUGUCUGACUGUUUUGUGAGCAGGAGUUCCACACGCAGUGAGAUCAUGGUGCUGAGACAGGCUGGCGAGGCACAAAAGCUGCCUGUCUGAAAUAGCAGCCACUUCCUCCCUGCUCUCCCCAAUGCCCUGUUCAUGUGGGUGGUUUCAUCUGCUCCCCUGGAUAAUAAGUGAGUGUGUUUUGAUGGGAAAGGGAACUCUAAACCUACUUCUUCUCAGUGUGGUAAAACAGUAGGUGAGAACAAGAAGGGUUUCUGUGGUAAAUGGAAGGGACUUAUCAGUCUCUCCUGGAGUCAUGGGUCAUGGUGGAAAUGAUCACCUUAUCAGAGGUAUUUUCCAUUCUGAGCGUGCGUGUAAUCACAUGUCACCCAGCAGCUGCAGGAGGGCGUCUGUAUUAUGCCCCUGUGUGCCCAUCCUUAGUUAGCUUGGUUUUGGUCCACCAUGUGUCUAGUGUUCCAUCAUCCAUUGCUUGGCUCUCUGUUCACUUACACCCCAAAUUCCCCCAACAUAAAUAACAGAUGUGUUUGCUCAAUCUGGAAAGGUUAUUCACCCUGCCGAAAUAGAUUUCACAUACACUCUAGGCUACUGCUAUUUAUAAAUAUGCACAGUGCGUACCAUGUUUAAUUAUCUACUAUCCCAUUGUGCUGCAUUUUCAAAAACGAUCCUCUGUCAUGAUAAAUAGUUCAAGCCCUUCAAAGUACUGGCUAAUUUAGUAGCAGUUGUUCUGGGGACCCAUUGUAUGUGACGAGAGAAUGCUAUGCAGCAUUCUUCUGCCUGCUAAUUCCCUCUCAACCUUGUCUGCCCUUGAUGUCCUGAAAUAAAACAAACCAUAUAUUCGAAGUGACGUAACAUUCUGUGAUUUCUGGGGUUCUCCAGAAUGUACAACAGCUAUAAAUGUUGACAUGCACAGGAUUCUCAUCGUACCCCUACAGAGAAGGGGGGCCAAUGUUUGUGUUUGCCACGGGUCAUGUCUGUCUUGGUAGGAAUUGGAGAGGAUGACCUUGCUUCAAGAUGUGGUUGUUUGUGUGUAUCUGGGAAGAAAGAGAACAUGUCAGUCUCAUUUUCAGACACAAAAAAAUGCAAUGUUAUUGUCAUUACUUUUAGGAAUUCCCUUUCUCUUAGCAUAUUUUUUUCAUGACCGUCUCCCUCGGUUCUUCUCAGUCCAAUCGUUUUGUUGGGAAAUUGCGCAGCAAGGGGACGGUGUUCAAGAAGAAGAGGCAGGAGAUUACCGAGCUGAGCACGGGAUCCUGCAGCAGACAGAGGAGAUCCUAAAAGAGAGGCGUGAGGUCAGCCAACAGCAACUGGUAAUGCACCUCACUAAUCCCCUUUCACAGCUAUCAGCUAUGGGCAGCUAUCCACCCUACCUGCUUUCCUCCAUACCGCGUCAGCCCUCUUAUAGUGCUGCACGUGCCUUUCCAUCCUGCCCAUGUUGAUGUAAAUUGCAUUAAAAGUGAAGUGACAUAACCUUCCUGGAAAUUAUUUCACACCUCAAAACCCUCCCACCUCCUGACUUGCUAAAAGCCUGGCUGACACAGGGAGGGCUGGGCUGCUGCUAUUUGCGAAGGCUGCAUCUGUUUCUCUCUUAUGACGCUGGUAUUUUUUUUUAUCAGUGGCUGCAUCCCCCCCACCACCACGGCUGGUUGUCUGUUGGUGCCUGAGCCCCCUCCUCUCGCUACCUGCAUUCCUGUUCCCAACUGUUACCCCUCCCACAUAAAAUGAACCAUUUGCUGCAACAAUGUUGGUUAUAGCCUACCGUAUAACCCAGAACAUGCUAGAAGCCCAGCCUGCCACUGUGAUCUAUUCAUAUCAGAACCAAAUAUUAGAAUGAAUGUAGUUUAAUUAGGUCAUUCACAUUCAGUCUUUAUCAGUGUUUGAACAGAUUUGCAAUGGAGGGCUGGGGGAUACGUGUGAAGGAAAUUGUGUUUAUUUUCAUAGGUCACAGAUUUCUCACUCAUCAUAUACAAUAGACUGCACACACACACACACACACACACUGCUACCUCAACUGCAUGUAACCUUCUCUUCUUGGACAACAAAGUGGCCUGUACUCCCAGGUGUGGAACUGAGCCCUGACUGUUUGUGUGGACACAACGCUUCACAGUGCAUAGAGCUGCGACUCCGGUGCCAGAGCAAUCCAUGGAGGCACAGAAGCGGAUCUCUGGGUACAGUGACACUCAGGAGGAACUGGAGAGGAUGUCGGCCGUCAAGGGUGAACUGGACGAAAUGAAGGCACGCUCUCUGGACGACGUGUCUGAAAUGGAGCUCUGAAGGUGUGGAGACAGUGGCUUGAGGGGGCUAAGCACCCCUUUCUCAUCUGGACCGACCACCAGAAUCUGGAGUAUAUUCAGGCAGCUAGGAGACUUAACCCACGUCAGGCAAGGUGGGCCAUAUUCUUCACCCGGUUUCCGGUUUACAUUGUCUUAUAGACCGGGCUCCCAGAACGUAAAGGCUGACGCACUGUCCUGCCUUUACGACACGGAGGAUAGGUCCUGAUACAUUCCCUGGGCUGAAAUGGCCCAGAAUUCACUACGCCACUCCUCUACUAAUGUGUCCCCUUUUCAGUAUGUGUUGGGGUACCAGCCGGUCCUGGCACCAUGGCAUCCGAGCCAGACCGAAGCUCCUGGAGGUCCGUCCAGGAAUCUCUCCAACAAGCGAGUGGACGCCAGAAGAGGAGUGCUGACCGCCACCGCAGCCGGUGGUAGCUGGUCCCCUGCAGGACAGUGAGGUGCCGGAGGUCCCUCCCCCCGCCUCUGGACAUCGAGGGGUCUCCGGCGUAUACGAUACGGGACAUUCUGGACUCAAGACACCGGGUGAGGGGCCUGCAGUACCUUGUGGACUGGGAGGGGUACGGUCCGGAGGAGAGGUGCUGGGUACCGGUGGGGGACAUCUUGGAUCCAUCAAUGUUGAGGGAUUUCCAUCGCCUCCAUCCGGAUCGCCCUGCACCUCGUCCUCCGGGGCGACCUUGAGGCCGGUGUCGGCGCACUGCGGGAGCCACGCGUCGGGGGGGUACUGUCACGAGUCCGACCGAGGGUGGCUUCCCAUUCCGGUCGGGUGGUGCUCGGCGGUCGUCGUCAUCGGCCUAUUAGCUGCCACUGAUUGUCUUUCCUCCCCCUCCUUAUAUGUUUAUUGUUAGCACCUGUUCGUGAAUCAUUAGUUGGGCUUUAUUAGACAGCCGGCCGGCCCGCCUGUUUCUUUGUGCGGGAUUAAUUAUUGUGACCUUCGGUCCCGUAGUAGAGGAACGUGUUUGUUCCUUGUCGUGUAUAUCUGUUGUACUAUUUUCGUCCCCCGUGUUUGGGGCAGUUUGGUUGUGAGCACCCUGUGUUGCGUUAGUGCAUUAAAGAGCACAGC